ACGUUAUUUGACGGCAAUGAUGGACAGGGAGGUUUGGCGUAAUGUUGUGAACUCCAUGAUCUCGACCACGGUCGACUGAUGAUGAUGAUGAUGAAUAGGAUGGGCAAAGCAAGCCACCAAAAGGGAAACAGAUUAUGGUUGUCAGAGGAUGACAGAAUGACUGUAUAUCAAAAAAAAAUUUACAUGAGCCUAUCAAUGAUAAAUUGUAUUGAGAUAAAGGUGAACUAUUGAGACAAAGUUCCAAGGGUGGAGAUCAUAUCAAUGAAUGCCAUUGUGCAACAGCACUGCGAGUAGAAUGCAGCAUAUCAUUCCAGUGCGCUAAUCCUGACCCUGUGCUGUACAUGUAAGGUCCAACUACGCAUCUUCCAAUCAGC